rnacentral:tRNA from 1 species
CAUAUGGUAGCUCAACUGGGUAGAGCCCUCGACAUUUAAUCGAGUUGCGCAGGUUCGAUUCCUGUCCAUAUAA